rnacentral:misc_RNA from 1 species
GAAUUUUAGGGUGCUCUUGCUCCUCCUCUUAACAAGGAGCGAGUUAAGAGGCCUGACCUCCACUCUCCAACACUGUGCACUUUUUCUGCUUGAGUUCUUCUUACACACUAGUUGUGAUUUGCAAGACUCUUGUGGCUUUUUAAUUUAAACACGAGUCAAAGAAUGUAAACAAAACCAUAACAAAAAAAACUUUCAACAACGGAUCUCUUGGCUCU